AGUGAACGCUGGCGGUAGGCCUAACACAUGCAAGUCGAACGGCAGCACAGUAAGAGCUUGCUCUUACGGGUGGCGAGUGGCGGACGGGUGAGGAAUACAUCGGAAUCUACUUUUUCGUGGGGGAUAACGUAGGGAAACUUACGCUAAUACCGCAUACGACCUACGGAUGAAAGCAGGGGAUCUUCGGACCUUGCGCGAUUGAAUGAGCCGAUGUCGGAUGAGCUAGUUGGCGGGGUAAAGGCCCACCAAGGCGACGAUCCGUAGCUGGUCUGAGAGGAUGAUCAGCCACACUGGAAGUGAGACACGGUCCAGACUCCUACGGGAGGCAGCAGUGGGGAAUAUUGGACAAUGGGCGCAAGCCUGAUCCAGCCAUACCGCGUGGGUGAAGAAGGCCUUCGGGUUGUAAAGCCCUUUUGUUGGGAAAGAAAAGCAGCAGGUUAAUACCCCGCUGUUCUGACGGUACCCAAAGAAUAAGCACCGGCUAACUUCGUG
rnacentral:rRNA from 1 species